rnacentral:rRNA from 1 species
UGCCAGCCGCCGCGGUAAUACGAAGGUCCCAAGCGUUGUUCGGAAUCACUGGGCGUAAAGGGAGCGUAGGCGGCGUGGUAAGUCAGAUGUGAAAUUCCGGGGCUCAACCUCGGAACUGCAUCCGAUACUGCCAUGCUAGAGUGGUGGAGGGGCAUCUGGAAUUCACGGUGUAGCAGUGAAAUGCGUAGAUAUCGUGAGGAACACUAGUGGCGAAGGCGAGAUGCUGGACACCUACUGACGCUGAGGCUCGAAGGCCAGGGUAGCGAAAGGGAUUAGAUA